GAUGAACGCUGGCGGCGUGCUUAACACAUGCAAGUCGAACGAUGAAGCCCAGCUUGCUGGGUGGAUUAGUGGCGAACGGGUGAGUAACACGUGAGUAACCUGCCCUUAACUCUGGGAUAAGCCUGGGAAACUGGGUCUAAUACCUGAUAGGAGCGUCCACCGCAUGGUGGGUGUUGGAAAGAUUUAUCGGUUUUGGAUGGACUCGCGGCCUAUCAGCUUGUUGGUGAGGUAAUGGCUCACCAAGGCGACGACGGGUAGCCGGCCUGAGAGGGUGACCGGCCACCAUGGGACUGAGAGACGGCCCAGACUCCUACGGGAGGCAGCAGUGGGGAAUAUUGCACAAUGGGCGCAAGCCUGAUGCAGCGACGCCGCGUGAGGGAUGACGGCCUUCGGGUUGUAAACCUCUUUCAGUAGGGAAGAAGCGAAAGUGACGGUACCUGCAGAAGAAGCACCGGCUAACUACGUG
rnacentral:rRNA from 1 species